UACGUAGGAUCCAAGCGUUAUCCGGAAUUACUGGGCGUAAAGAGUUGCGUAGGUGGCGAGGUAAGCGAGUAGUGAAAGCGUGUGGCUCAACCAUACAUCCAUUACUCGAACUGCUUUGCUAGAGAGCGAGAGAGGUAGAUGGAAUUCCUGAUGUAGGGGUAAUAUCCGUAGAUAUCAGGAGGAAGACCGAUGGCGUAAGCAGUCUACUGGCUCGUUUCUGACACUAAGGCACGAAAGCGUGGGUAGCAAACAGG
rnacentral:rRNA from 1 species